ACAUUUUUAUGUUCCUAUUUUGUUUUAAAAAAAUCUUCUUUGGCUUAAUUAAAAAAUCCACUUUAGUAUUUUUAUCUGCCUCAUAGUCAAACUCACCAGACUUUACACAAAUGUCUGGUGGUCCUUAGAAGUCUACUUAUGGUUAAGAAUGGUAUCCUAAACAGAUGUUUGUUUUAAUCCCAUGGCCCAUUCCAGAUGACUUGGGAAGUCUGCCAUACUCUGUAAGUGACUGCACACCAGAGUUUGGAAACAGAAUGAAAAACAGCUCGAAUUAUCCAUGUGUUCAGAGCACAUGAGUUGGAGGUGGGCUUUAAAUGCCAGACUCCAGGAAAGACUUAGCUGAAUUGCAGAAGGCUAGAAGCAGAAUUAGAACAACUAUUAGAAGGUCAUCUCCUCCAGCCCUGGCCUCACUGGAUGAAUUCCCUAAACAAUGGACAUUUGUGCUGUUUCCACUACUGUAGGGGUCUGUUUGUUUGAACAUUUAUUCUGAUUGAACUUCAUUCUGUAAAUACUGAAUGUGUACUGAAUAUUGGAAUAUAGAUAAAUAAUGUAUUCUUUC
rnacentral:lncRNA from 1 species